rnacentral:tRNA from 1 species
GCGCCGCUAGCUCAGUUGGCAGAGCAGCUGACUCUUAAUCAGCGGGUCGCAGGUUCGAGCCCUGCGCGGCGUA